GCUAGUAAUCGCGGAUCAGCAUGCCGCGGUGAAUACGUUCCCGGGCCUUGUACACACCGCCCGUCACACCACCCGAGUCGUCUGCACCCGAAGCCGCCGGCCGAACCCUUUUGGGGCGGAGGCGUCGAAGGUGUGGAGGGUAAGGGGGGUGAAGUCGUAACAAGGUAGCCGUACCGGAAGGUGCGGCUGGAUCACCUCCUUUCUAGGGAGA
rnacentral:rRNA from 1 species